GAAACAUAUUUUAUUGAUUUUAUAAACGCGUUCAGACUAAAAUCAUUACAUCGAAUUACACACCAUACGGUAAUAUUUAAAAACCAUUGUCCAAACCGUGCUCAUGAAUUAACAAGCUGCACGUGGUGCGUAUGUAUUAUAAUAGGUACGUCAUGUCAGAGAUUGUUUUAUUGUUGUUUUUUUUUUUUAGCUGAACGCCAUCCGUCCUCACGUUACGUCAAAUAGAUGUGAAAGGACCACGCGCUGAGCAACAAUGAGGAAAUCUAUUGAUUUUAAUUUUCAAUUUUUUUUUAUUUAAUAAUUAAUUAUAAAUGUAAAAAAUUAUCUACCGUUUGCACUAACACGCUUUAAUAAUAUUAUAUUUUUCAAAUUUAAAUAAUGUCAUAAAUUCAAUAUUCCAUACAGAAAAAACGGCGUCAGGAGAAAUUCGUGAUCCAUUACGCUUAAAACAACUAAAUAUCGCCCUAAAAUAUAAACAUGACAAUCUUAAUGAGCACGAACUAUUUAUCGAAUGUGAGGUGAGGACAAUCGACCGUCAGGAAAAUCGACCGGUAAUAUCCGUUGUAUGGUGUGCAUUAUCAUUUAUUAAGCACAAGAGAGAUCGCAUUUUUUCCACUACAAUAGUGGUAAAUAUAAGUGUUUUCCUACGAUCUAAAACUAUGCGAAGGUUUGGCACCGAUGAUUAAGAAUGUAAACAUAAAUGGUGAGCACAUCUUUACUCUUAUAAAAGAACUUUAGACAAAUCAAUACAACGCUCAGGUAGAUAUCAAAAUUAUUAUUAGAAGAGCUUCAAGACCAUGUCCAAAAAAAUGUAGACCACAACGUGAACAGUACUUAAAAUAAAUUUUAAUAAUCGUGAGGGUACGCAUUUUGAGUAUAUUUAAAGUAUUGCACGCGACUUCUACUUAAAAUCUGUAUAAACGUAUUAAAGUAGU